UCCAACGAACAGCGAUCGAGGUGCUUUACUACUUCAAGAAUCUAUCUCCUGCUCUAAUUCAAGGUCUCGUCCACUGCACUUCAGUUUCGAAAAGUUCGUUCGAAAUAGUUCAAUAUACUCUUGAAACACUUGAUUUUGUUCGGCACUUUGAUGGGUCCAUUGCCGACUACCUCAGUUUCCUGCUCUCUGUUCUCGCCAAUUGUCACUUCACAGCCAAUAGCUCCGACUCAAACCUCAACACGAGGCGACGAAAACUGUUCGAAUUGGCACACCUUGUCGCCUAUCUCGCCUAUCAGCUCAACCUUCAAGGUGAACUCUUUGGACUUGUUGAUACUCACUUGCUCGAAAUACUCAUGCAAAGUGACUCGCCAGAUUUGGUUCGCGUCGUUUCAGCCUUCAUUGGGUUUUACUUGAAAUUGAUCAAGCCUUCUUCUGUCCUACCACCUACAUCAGAAAGUCCCUCCAUAAACCCUUCUGAGGACGGCUCUAUGGGGCAUUCACACCUCCCUUCCCCACUGAAAGAUGAACUUCCCAAGAGGCUCUUCUCCUUCUUGUCUUCGACGUUUCCCGAAACCACUCUCCACAGACUACCUUCGGAUAUUGUCUACGCCAAAGAGCUUUUCUCCAACGACUGCUUUCUCUUUCAAUCAUUCCUGCAGCACUGGAGAGAUUCUACUCGAACAUGCUCCGAGUUUGAUCUCGCGCUUCUUUCAGACUUCUUCAUAAAAUAUCCGUUAGAACUAAGUGACUCUCUACAACGCUCAGAAGAAAAAAUCCGGUUCAUUUUAGCGCUCCUCAAACAAUCUGAACAAGCAUGUUCUGUCUCGAACCUAGAGUCCGAAAUCAAUGCUUUUUACUCUACUUAAACCGCCUCUAUUCGUUUCCAAACUAUUCAUUUUUUUUAAGGACAAAUUUCCAUUCGUAGCGUGGCGUUUUUUCUCCUUACAUCACCAUGCCUCAAGGCCUCGGAUGGUUUUCCCAGAACAAUUCUGUCUUAAAAGCCAACUUCUGCCCUGUCUGCUCCUCACUCCUUGAUAUCCCAAAUACUGGCUCUAUCGUUUGCAGACUCUGCAGCUACAGCUGCAACCCAGUCGACCUGGAAUCUAGACAAAUUGUAACAACAAGCAAACCAAAAGAAACUCAUUUCAACUUUAAGAAAGACGGAAAUUUUGCGGCAAAGAUGAGUGAUGGGUCUGUUCUAUGUCCUAAAUGCGACCAUAACGAAUUGUACUUUAAAACGGCACAGCUACGCUCCGCUGAUGAAGGGCAAACUAUUUUUUAUGAGUGCUGCAAAUGCAGGUACGCUUUAUGGUCGACAUAAUCUCUUUAACGCGUUCCUUUUUUUUUUGCCCCAAUCCGAUCUCGCUUUUAACACCUGACUUUGCGAAUACCAGCUAUACUUGGUCCGUCAAUAGCUAGAGCCAUUCUUG